ACGGUCACAUAACGUUAAAACAGCGUUUCUCGUGCGAUCACAGAAGUUAAGCAAUGUCGAACCUGUUCAGUACCAAGAUGGGUGACCGCUUGAGAAUUCCAGGUGGUGUAAG